UUGAUUUUAAUUAUUUGUGAGGGUACUACUAAUUAACAACAAUUUUAUAAUCAAAACAAAAAAGAUCA
rnacentral:misc_RNA from 1 species